rnacentral:rRNA from 1 species
GGACGACCAGCCACACUGGGACUGAGACACGGCCCAGACUCCUACGGGAGGCAGCAGUGGGGAAUAUUGGACAAUGGGCGAAAGCUUGAUCCAGCGACGCCGCGUGUGUGAAGAAGGCCUGCGGGUUGUAAAGCACUUUUAGUGGGGAUGAAAAGCCUAGGGUUAAUACCCCUGGGUCUUGACCUAACCCACAGAAAAAGCACCGGCUAACUCUGUGCCAGCAGCCGCGGUAAUACAGAGGGUGCGAGCGUUAAUCGGAAUUACUGGGUGUAAAGCGUGCGUAGACGGUUUCGUAAGUCGGGUGUGAAAGCCCUGGGCUCAACCUGGGAAUUGCAUUCGAGACUGCGUGGCUAGGGUACGGUAGAGGGAAGUGGAAUUUCCGGGUGUAGCGGUGAAAUGCGUAGAUAUCGGAAGGAACAUCAGUGGCGAAAGCGACUUCCUGGACCAGUACCGACGUUCAGGCACGAAAGCGUGGGGAGCAAACAGGAUUAGAUACC